CAAUUCCAAACCUUCAAUGAUCCAUCAAUUUACGAGGGUAAUACUGCACUUUGCGGGUUCCAUUGCCAACACAGUGCUCAGAGGAUAACAAGGAAAAUUCUCCAAUGCCUGAUGUGGAUAAUGAAGACGAUGAUGGAGAUGAUUUGAACCAAGCUAUGGUUCUGGGUUAGUGUGGGACUUGGUUUCAAUGUGGGAUUUUGGGGAUUUUGUGGUACUUUGAUCAUCAAGAAAUCUUGGAGACUUGCUUAUUUCCGCUUCAUCGAUGAAAAGAAAGAUGCACUUUUUGCCAUCUCCUCAGUGCUUUGUGGCUUGUCUGGUAGAAAAAUUCAAGGCAGUCACAAG
rnacentral:misc_RNA from 1 species